rnacentral:rRNA from 1 species
CCUACGGGAGGCAGCAGUGAGGAAUAUUGGUCAAUGGGCGCGAGCCUGAACCAGCCAAGUAGCGUGAAGGAUGACUGCCCUACGGGUUGUAAACUUCUUUUGUAAAGGAAUAAAGUGAGGCACGUGUGACUUUUUGUAUGUACUUUAUGAAUAAGGAUAGGCUAACUCCGUGCCAGCAGCCGAGGUAAUACGGAGGGGCCGAGCGUUAUCCGGAUUUAUUGGGUUUAAAGGGAGCGUAGAUGGGUUGUUAAGUCAGUUGUGAAAGUCUGCGGCUCAACCGUAAAAUUGCAAUUGAUACUGGCAGUCUUGAGUACAGUAGAGGUAGGCAGAAUUCGUGGUGUAGCGGUGAAAUGCGUAGAUAUCACGAAGAACUCCGAUUGCGAAGGCAGCUUACUAAACUGACACUGACAUUGAUGCGCGAAAGUGUGGGUAUCAAACAGGAUUAGAUACCCUUGUAGUC